rnacentral:rRNA from 1 species
CCUACGGGAGGCAGCAGUCGAGAAUCAUUCACAAUGGGGGAAACCCUGAUGGUGCGACGCCGCGUGGGGGAAUGAAGGUCUUCGGAUUGUAAACCCCUGUCAUGUGGGCGCAAAUUAAAAAGAUAGUACCACAAGAGGAAGAGACGGCUAACUCUGUGCCAGCAGCCGCGGUAAUACAGAGGUCUCAAGCGUUGUUCGGAAUCACUGGGCGUAAAGCGUGCGUAGGCUGUUUCGUAAGUCGUGUGUGAAAGGCGCGGGCUCAACCCGCGGACGGCACAUGAUACUGCGAGACUAGAGUAAGGGAGGGGGAACCGGAAUUCUCGGUGUAGCAGUGAAAUGCGUAGAUAUCGAGAGGAACACUCGUGGCGAAGGCGGGUUCCUGGACAUUAACUGACGCUGAGGCACGAAGGCCAGGGGAGCGAAAGGGAUUAGAUACCCUUGUAGUC